AUUUUCUCGUGUAGUUAUAACAAGUAGUCGGGAAUAUAACUAUCAAGAGUUAUCUUUAACUUCAGUUGUCAAAUUAUCAUGAGAUAAGCACUACUUUGCAUAUUUUAACUUUUAAACAGAAAGUAUGUGAUUGUAUAACAACGCAUGGCUGUAUUCAUGAUCCUCGGUUUGUCUGCUCUAUUGUGAAUCUGUUCAUGUUUUAACUCCCUAUUUGUGUAGAAGUUGUCUUUUACACAAGGUGGAGAUUUCCAAAACUGAUAAUGAUUGUAAAUGUGGUGUAUAUGUUGAUAAAUGAAAUAUCUCCUAUUCUAUAGAUAUUAACAUUAUCUUAUGUAUAUAUGCUUUAUUUUUACAGGUUAAAGAACAGUGUGAGCUUCAUUGUCCAGGUUUACAAGAAAGUGCCUUAAAUCAAAUUCCGAGUGAUGUUGAACUUCAUCGAUUAACAUCAAGAUGUGAUGAAACCACAAUACGAGAGUUGGCCAUACAUCUUGGUAUGACUUUGCAAGAUUGGGAAACACUUAGAUCUGAUAAUGAUCGGAUUGCGAUUGUAAAGUAUAGAAUACUGGUCAACUGGCGGGACAAAUACUCGGGAAGAUUUAGCAGAAUAGCAAAAGCUUUAACAGAUAUGGACUUACCAGUCCAUACACUGUGUCAGGUUAAAAGAGAAAGAAGAGCAGAGACG